rnacentral:rRNA from 1 species
GAUGAACGCUGGCGGCGUGCCUAAUACAUGCAAGUCGAGCGAACGGACGAGAAGCUUGCUCCUUUGACGUUAGCGGCGGACGGGUGAGUAACACGUGGAUAACCUACCUAUAAGACUGGGAUAACUUCGGGAAACCGGAGCUAAUACCGGAUAAUAUUUUGAACCGCAUGGUUCUAAAGUGAAAGAUGGUUUUGCUGUCACUUAUAGAUGGACCCGCGCUGCAUUAGCUAGUUGGUAAGGUAACGGCUUACCAAGGCAACGAUGCAUAGCCGACCUGAGAGGGUGAUCGGCCACACUGGAACUGAGACACGGUCCAGACUCCUACGGGAGGCAGCAGUAGGGAAUCUUCCGCAAUGGGCGAAAGCCUGACGGAGCAACGCCGCGUGAGUGAUGAAGGUCUUCGGAUCGUAAAACUCUGUUAUUAGGGAAGAACAUAUGUGUAAGUAACUGUGCACGUCUUGACGGUACCUAAUCAGAAAGCCACGGCUAACUACGUG